GCAGCCGCGGUAAAACGUAGGACGCAAGCGUUAUCCGGAAUUACUGGGCGUAAAGCGCGUGCAGGCGGGUGAGUAAGUCAGCCGUGAAAGCUCCUGGCUAAACUGGGAGAGGUCGGUUGAAACUACUGAUCUGGAGUGUGACAGAGGCGAGUGGAAUUCCGCGUGUAGUGGUGAAAUGCGUAGAUAUGCGGAGGAACACCAGUGGCGAAGGCGGCUCGCUGGGUCACAACUGACGCUGAGACGCGAAAGCAUGGGGAGCGAACGGGAUUAGAAACCCCGGUAGUCCAUGCCGUAAACGAUGUGCACUAGGCGUUCGUGCGGCUACGGUCGUGUGAGUGUCGCAGCUAACGCGAUAAGUGCACCGCCUGGGGAGUACGGUCGCAAGGCUAAAACUCAAAGGAAUUGACGGGGGCCCGCACAAGCAGCGGAGCGUGUGGUUUAAUUCGAGGCUACGCGAAGAACCUUACCCGGGCUUGACAUCCCGCGCCAUCUUGUGAAAGCAAGAGUUCCUUCGGGACGCGGAGACAGGUGCUGCAUGGCUGUCGUCAGCUCGUGUCGUGAGAUGUUCGGUUAAGUCCGAAAACGAGCGCAACCCUUAUUGCUAGUUACAAGUGUCUAGCGAGACUGCCCGCGGCAAGCGGGAGGAAGGUGGGGAUGACGUCAAGUCAGCAUGGCCUUUAUGUCCGGGGCUACACACACGCUACAAUGGCACAUACAAUGGGUCGCGAAACCGCGAGGUUGAGCCAAUCCCGCAAAGUGUGUCGUAGUUCGGAUUGCAGGCUGCAACUCGCCUGCAUGAAGUCGGAGUUGCUAGUAACCGCGUAUCAGCACGGCGCGGUGAAUACGUUCCCGGGCC
rnacentral:rRNA from 1 species